CAGCCGCCACGGUAAUACGUAGGGGGCAAGCGUUGUCCGGAAUUAUUGGGCGUAAAGCGCGCGCAGGCGGUUUUUUAAGUCUGGUGUCUAAGUGCGGGGCUCAACCCCGUGACGCACUGGAAACUGGGAGACUUGAGUGCAGGAGAGGAGAGCGGAAUUCCACGUGUAGCGGUGAAAUGCGUAGAGAUGUGGAGGAACACCAGUGGCGAAGGCGGCUCUCUGGACUGUAACUGGCGCUGAGGCGCGAAAGCGUGGGGAGCAAACAGGAUUAGAUACCCCCGUAGUCCCUGUCUCUUAUACC
rnacentral:rRNA from 1 species